rnacentral:rRNA from 1 species
UGCAUUUCAGUCAGCAUGAUGCCGAACUUAACGCCACCGGCGUAAUCCAUCUGCGCGCUAAUAAUGUUGUUGUUGACGUUGAAACGACGCGCGGUUUCAGAAAGCAGCGGGGCAUCGACCGAUUGACCGGUAAACUCCAGGCGCAACAUCGGCACGCAGUCAGUAAAUGGCUCCGCUUGCAGACGUUCCUGGUAAUCUUCCGGGAUAUCCAGAUGCAGGGUCGACUGAAUAAACUUCUGCGCCAGCGGCGUUUUCGGAUGCGAGAACACUUCACUUACCGUGUCCUGCUCGAUCAGUUCGCCAUUGCUGAUGACCGCCACGCAAUCACAAAUACGCUUCACAACGUCCAUUUCGUGGGUGAUCAACAGAAUCGUCAAACCCAGACGGCGGUUAAUGUCUUUCAGCAGUUCGAGAAUAGAACGUGUCGUUGCCGGGUCCAGCGCGCUGGUGGCUUCAUCACACAGCAAUACUUUGGGAUUGCUGGCUAAUGCACGGGCAAUCGCCACACGUUGUUUCUGCCCACCGGAAAGAUUCGACGGGUAGCUAUCAUGCUUAUCGCCAAGACCAACCAAUGACAGCAAUUCCGUCACGCGACGUUUGAUCUCGUCUUUCGGUGUGUUGUCCAGCUCCAGCGGCAGAGCCACGUUGCCAAAAACAGUACGCGAAGAGAGCAGGUUAAAAUGCUGGAAAAUCAUACCAAUCUGGCGGCGAGCUUUGGUCAACUCGGAUUCUGACAGCGUGGUCAGUUCCUGGCCAUCGACCAGCACGCUACCCUCGGUUGGGCGCUCCAGCAGGUUUACACAACGUAUAAGCGUACUCUUACCCGCGCCUGAGGCACCGAUAACGCCAUAAAUUUGUCCAGCUGGCACAUGCAGGCUGACGUUGUUCAACGCCUGGAUGGUGCGGGUGCCCUGGUGGAACACUUUGGUGAUAUUCGAAAGUUUUAUCAUUGAUUAUUUAUUAUCGUCAUUAAGUUAGUCGUGGCAUUUCGAAUGCCUGAAACGGGCAACGCCGUCAAUGAAAUGGAUGUUAAGGCAUCCAGACGUCUAAAUCAAUCAGGUUUAUGCGAAGAGCACUUUCUUGCAGGUCGAAACAUGCGAUACUAGCGUCACAUGCCUUAUUAAGGAGCUAUAAAAGGUGGCGAAGAGCGUACCCGCAAUUUUUCUUGACCGUGAUGGCACCAUUAAUGUCGAUCACGGCUAUGUCCAUGAGAUCGACAACUUUGAAUUUAUCGACGGUGUUAUUGACGCCAUGCGCGAGCUAAAAAAAAUGGGCUUUGCGCUGGUGGUAGUAACCAACCAGUCUGGCAUUGCUCGCGGUAAAUUUACUGAAGCGCAGUUUGAAACGCUGACCGAGUGGAUGGACUGGUCGCUGGCGGACCGCGAUGUCGAUCUGGAUGGCAUCUAUUAUUGCCCGCAUCAUCCGCAGGGUAGUGUUGAAGAGUUUCGCCAGGUCUGCGACUGCCGCAAACCACAUCCGGGGAUGCUUUUGUCAGCACGCGAUUAUUUGCAUAUUGAUAUGGCCGCUUCUUAUAUGGUGGGCGAUAAAUUAGAAGAUAUGCAGGCAGCGGCUGCGGCGAACGUGGGAACAAAAGUGCUGGUGCGUACGGGUAAACCUAUUACGCCUGAAGCAGAAAACGCGGCGGAUUGGGUGUUAAAUAGCCUGGCAGACCUGCCGCAAGCGAUAAAAAAGCAGCAAAAACCGGCAUAAUGAUUAAAAGAUGAGCAAUUGAAAUAAAAAUGCAUUUUUCCACUUGUCUUCCUGAGACGACUCCCUAUAAUGCGCCUCCAUCGACACGGCGGAUGUGAAUCACUUCACACAAACAGCCGGUUCGGUUGAAGAGAAAAAUCCUGAAAUUCAGGGUUGACUCUGAAAGAGGAAAGCGUAAUAUACGCCACCUCGCGACAGUGCGCUAAAGCGCGUCGCAACUGCUCUUUAACAAUUUAUCAGACAAUCUGUGUGGGCACUCGAAGAUACGGAUUCUUAACGUCGCAAGACGAAAAAUGAAUACCAAGUCUCAAGAGUGAACACGUAAUUCAUUACGAAGUUUAAUUCUUUGAGCAUCAAA